UCAUCAAGCAGCUCUCUGGCUUUCCAAGUAAAGUUCUGUGAUACACUCCGACUCUGAAUGUUUGCAGUCAGUGCAUUACAGAACUUUGUUUUGGGAGUUUAAAGCUCAGGCCUGGAGG
rnacentral:pre_miRNA from 8 species